CCCCUCUCAGGGUGGCACCGGGAGAGUUUCCAGUCCUCUCCCAGUUUCGACUAUGGGAGGGAGAGUGAAGCAGGGCUACCCACUCCAUUCCUAGCUUGGCCAGUGGCUAGCGAGUGGAAGGGCAUCUGCUACAAGG